rnacentral:rRNA from 1 species
AGGACUUAGCAGAGAUGCUUUGGUGCCUUCGGGAACUCUGAGACAGGUGCUGCAUGGCUGUCGUCAGCUCGUGUUGUGAAAUGGUUGGGUUAAGUCCCGCAACGAGCGCAACCCUUAUCCUUUGUUGCCAGCGGUCCGGCCGGGAACUCAAAGGAGACUGCCAGUGAUAAACUGGAGGAAGGUGGGGAUGACGUCAAGUCAUCAUGGCCCUUACGAGUAGGGCUACACACGUGCUACAAUGGCGCAUACAAAGAGAAGCGACCUCGCGAGAGCAAGCGGACCUCAUAAAGUGCGUCGUAGUCCGGAUUGGAGUCUGCAACUCGACUCCAUGAAGUCGGAAUCGCUAGUAAUCGUGGAUCAGAAUGCCACGGUGAAUACGUUCCCGGGCCUUGUACACACCGCCCGUCACACCAUGGGAGUGGGUUGCAAAAGAAGUAGGUAGCUUAACCUUCGGGAGGGCGCUUACCACUUUGUGAUUCAUGACUGGGGUGAAGUCGUAACAAGGUAAGCGUAGUGCU